AGAGUUGAUCAUGGCUCAGGAUGAACGCUGGCGGCGUGCCUAACACAUGCAAGUCGAACGAAGCUGGGGAACGGAGAUUCGUCGAAGAGAACCAAGACUUAGUGGCGGACGGGUGAGUAAUGUAUGAGCAACCUGCCUUUCAGAGGGGGACAACAGUUGGAAACGACUGCUAAUACCGCGUAACGUAUGACAGGGGCAUCCCUGACAUACCAAAGGAGCAAUCCGCUGAAAGAUGGGCUCAUAUCUGAUUAGCUUGUUGGCGGGGUAACGGCCCACCAAGGCGACGAUCAGUAGCCGGACUGAGAGGUUGAACGGCCACAUUGGGACUGAGAUACGGCCCAGACUCCUACGGGAGGCAGCAGUGGGGAACAUUGGGCAAUGGGCGAAAGCCUGAACCCCAGCAACGCCGCGUGAAGGAAGAAGGUCUUCGGAUUGUAAACUUCUUUUAUGAGGGACGAAGGACGUGACGGUACCUCAUGAAUAAGCCACGGCUAACUACGUGCCAGCCGCUGC
rnacentral:rRNA from 1 species